rnacentral:rRNA from 1 species
GAUGAACGCUGGCGGCGUGCCUAAUACAUGCAAGUCGAGCGAACAGAUGAGGAGCUUGCUCCUCUGACGUUAGCGGCGGACGGGUGAGUAACACGUGGAUAACCUACCUAUAAGACUGGGAUAACUUCGGGAAACCGGAGCUAAUACCGGAUAAUAUAUUGAACCGCAUGGUUCAAUAGUGAAAGACGGUUUUGCUGUCACUUAUAGAUGGAUCCGCGCCGCAUUAGCUAGUUGGUAAGGUAACGGCUUACCAAGGCAACGAUGCGUAGCCGACCUGAGAGGGGGAUCGGCCACACUGGAACUGAGACACGGUCCAGACUCCUACGGGAGGCAGCAGUAGGGAAUCGUCCGCAAAGGGCGAAAGCCCGACGGAGCAACGCCGCGUGAGUGAUGAAGGUCUUCGGAUCGUAAAACUCUGUUAUUAGGGAAGAACAAAUGUGUAAGUAACUAUGCACGUCUUGACGGUACCUAAUCAGAAAGCCACGGCUAACUACGUG